GCAAUGUUCUUUUCUUUCUUUGACUCCUUCCCAGUUGCUCCUUGCUUCCUAUUUUCAACUCAUAGGUCUUCAAAUUUACUAUAAGCUCAUCCAUAGGCAAGGUCAUUAGAUCUUUUGCCUCAGUAAUUACAUCCACCUUGCUUUCCCAAGAUUUUGGAAGAAUCUUGAGAAUUUUUCGAACUUGCUUGCACAUAAGUAUAGAUCUCCUAGACCUCUGAGCGCAUUUUUUAUGGCAGUGAAACACGAGUUCAUU
rnacentral:misc_RNA from 1 species